GCUUGUCGUUUGUUGCUUGUUGCUGGGCGGCAGCCAGAUCUGAGAUCGGGUCGCGAGUGUCGCGCGUUCUCUUUGCUGCCCGGGUUGGCUGGCUGUGACUAGUUUUUCUUUCUUUAUUAUCAACCUCACAUUGACAGCCAACAACGAGAUGCAAUUCUACAAGUAAUAUAUAUUUAUUGCUCGUUACACAAAUCGAGUUGCCCCCUUUCUUCCCCUUCCCCUCUUCAGCGGCAUAUCAAUUGAUGGCAUAAAAAAUCGCACAGGUGCUGAAUGACUCUUGUGUCUCGUGGCCGCCCUUAGACAACGCCGGCACAUCUCAAAGUGAUUCGACUUUAAAUUGCAACACACCAAAUAGGCUAUAAAUCACCCAAUUUUGAUUUUGCGGUUUUAAGCUUGUGAAACUUGCCACAACAUUGAGCUCCAAGAUGCUUUCACAAUUUUCUUCUUAUAUAUAACGUAAUAAAAAAAACCCAGCUAAGCCACAAAUGUGCCAUCAACAUUGUAUGUAUUGCACAUAUAUUAGCGAACGGUGCUGUAGGCUAUCGAAACAUAUGCCUAAAGCUUACUAAUUAGCGACUUUACCAA